ensembl:miRNA
AGGAAGACCAGCAGCCCAGCCCUCCUGUCCCCAUCCCAGUCCCUGGGGUCUCUCCGAGGUAUCCAGCUGACACUCCGAAGGGCUGGCAGGGAUUGGGAUGGGAGUGGGGACAUGGACGCCGGUUUCAGUGACC